rnacentral:tRNA from 1 species
GCGUCGGUGGCAUAGUGAUUAAGACUUUUGCCUACCAUGCACAUGGUCUGGGGUUCGAUCCCCUGCCGACGCA